CUUCUUGAAUAUAUAAGAAGUCUUAUCUGCUCACUGAUAUAUUAAAGAGCCGCGGUAUAUUGACCGUGCAAAGGUAGCAUAAUCAUUAGUCUUUUAAUUGAGGGCUGGAAUGAAUGAUGUGACGAAAUAAAUACUGUCUCUUGAUGAAUUAUUUAAUUUUACUUUUAAGUUAAAAGGCUUAAAUAAAUAAAAGGGACGAGAAGACCCUAUAGAUCUUAAUAUUAAAAUUUAAUGAUUUUAAGUCAGUGGUUUUAUGAAUUAUUGUGUUUUAAUAUUUCAUUGGGGUGAUGUGAAAAUUAUUAAACUUUUUAUUGGGUAACUGGAAUAAUAGGAAUUUUGAUCUUUUGUAGAAAAAAUAGAUAAAGAUACCUUAGGGAUAACAGCGUUAUUUUAUUUGAGAGUUCAUAUCGACAAUAAAGUUUGCGACCUCGAUGUUGGAUUAAGAUAAUUACUUGAUGAAGGAGUCAAGUUAAUUGGUCUGUUC
rnacentral:rRNA from 1 species